rnacentral:rRNA from 1 species
UAGGGAAUCUUCGGCAAUGGGGGGAACCCUGACCGAGCAACGCCGCGUGAGUGAAGAAGGUUUUCGGAUCGUAAAGCUCUGUUGUUAAGGAAGAACGAGUGUGAGAAUGGAAAGUUCAUGCUGUGACGGUACUUAACCAGAAAGGGACGGCUAACUACGUGCCAGCAGCCGCGGUAAUACGUAGGUCCCGAGCGUUGUCCGGAUUUAUUGGGCGUAAAGCGCACGUAGGCGGACUUUUAAGUCAGGGGUGAAAUCCCGGGGCUCAACCCCGGAACUGCCUUUGAUACUGGAAGUCUUGAGUAUGGUAGAGGUGAGUGGAAUUCCGAGUGUAGAGGUGAAAUUCGUAGAUAUUCGGAGGAACACCAGUGGCGAAGGCGGCUCACUGGACCAUUACUGACGCUGAGGUGCGAAAGCGUGGGGAGCAAACAGG